GCUUCUGUUCUAAUAAUAUAAUAAAAGGUUAAUUACAUACAGAUUCCUGCAAACAUAGUGAAUUGUAAAUGCAUUCCUACAAAGUUCAAUUUUCAUAUGUUAUUCCUGCCAAAGUUCUAAUAUUUUCAAAUAUGUCCACCGUUAUAGAACUGUUUGUAUUUUUAAGUAAAAUAUUAUUUUUGUCAUCACAAAUAUGUUUAUUCAAAAACUACAAUAGUAUAAUAUAAGAUGGGUAAAAAUAUCAAGUUAUCUCAUAAUCAGGGUUAACUUAUGGUUAACUAAAGUUUUCUAACGUAUUUUAAUGACAGGGACAUAUUUUAAAACAUUAUGAUUUUUGUAGAGACAGCAUAUGAAAGUUAAACUUUGUAGAAAUAUAUUGUAAUUUACUAUAUUUGCAGAGACCUAUAAUAAAUUAACCUAGUAAUAAAUUUCUUAAAAAAUAAAAAUUUUAAGCUUUUUAAUGUUUAAACAUAGAAGUUCUAAAGUAGAGUUUAUGAUUGAUAUGCGAUAAUUUAUUUUUUUUCAAAAUAAAUUUAGCUGAACUUAAAACUUCGGAUACGAAUUAUUAAAUCUUUUAUCACUUACGUCAGAGACAGUCGUUAAUAGUUCCAUAUAAAAGUUUAGAUGUG
rnacentral:lncRNA from 1 species